GGCGGCAGCUUACACAUGCAGUCGAGCGGAGUGAUGGUGCUUGCACUAUCACUUAGCGGCGGACGGGUGAGUAAUGCUUAGGAAUCUGCCAUUUAGUGGGGGACAACAUUCCGAAAGGAAUGCUAAUACCGCAUACGUCCUACGGGAGAAAGCAGGGGAUCUUCGGACCUUGCGCUAAAUGAUGAGCCUAAGUCGGAUUAGCUAGUUGGUGGGGUAAAGGCCUACCAAGGCGACGAUCUGUAGCGGGUCUGAGAGGAUGAUCCGCCACACUGGGACUGAGACACGGCCCAGACUCCUACGGGAGGCAGCAGUGGGGAAUAUUGGACAAUGGGCGGAAGCCUGAUCCAGCCAUGCCGCGUGUGUGAAGAAGGCCUUUUGGUUGUAAAGCACUUUAAGCGAGGAGGAGGCUACUAGUACUAAUACUACUGGAUAGUGGACGUUACUCGCAGAAUAAGCACCGGCUAACUCUGUGCCAGCAGCCGCGGUAAUACAGAGGGUGCGAGCGUUAAUCGGAUUUACUGGGCGUAAAGCGUGCGUAGGCGGCUGAUUAAGUCGGAUGUGAAAUCCCUGAGCUUAACUUAGGAAUUGCAUUCGAUACUGGUCAGCUAGAGUAUGGGAGAGGAUGGUAGAAUUCCAGGUGUAGCGGUGAAAUGCGUAGAGAUCUGGAGGAAUACCGAUGGCGAAGGCAGCCAUCUGGCCUAAUACUGACGCUGAGGUACGAAAGCAUGGGGAGCAAACAGGAUUAGAUACCCUGGUAGUCCAUGCCGUAAACGAUGUCUACUAGCCGUUGGGGCCUUUGAGGCUUUAGUGGCGCAGCUAACGCGAUAAGUAGACCGCCUGGGGAGUACGGUCGCAAGACUAAAACUCAAAUGAAUUGACGGGGGCCCGCACAAGCGGUGGAGCAUGUGGUUUAAUUCGAUGCCACGCGAAGAACCUUACCUGGUCUUGACAUAGUAAGAACUUUCCAGAGAUGGAUUGGUGCCUUCGGGAACUUACAUACAGGUGCUGCAUGGCUGUCGUCAGCUCGUGUCGUGAGAUGUUGGGUUAAGUCCCGCAACGAGCGCAACCCUUUUCCUUAUUUGCCAGCGGG
rnacentral:rRNA from 1 species